UGGGGAAUAUUGCACAAUGGGCGCAAGCCUGAUGCAGCCAUGCCGCGUGUGUGAAGAAGGCCUUCGGGUUGUAAAGCACUUUCAGCGGGGAGGAAGGCGAUAAGGUUAAUAACCUUGUCGAUUGACGUUACCCGCAGAAGAAGCACCGGCUAACUCCGUGCCAGCAGCCGCGGUAAUACGGAGGGUGCAAGCGUUAAUCGGAAUUACUGGGCGUAAAGCGCACGCAGGCGGUCUGUCAAGUCGGAUGUGAAAUCCCCGGGCUCAACCUGGGAACUGCAUUCGAAACUGGCAGGCUAGAGUCUUGUAGAGGGGGGUAGAAUUCCAGGUGUAGCGAGGAAAUGCGUAGAGAUCUGGAGGAAUACCGGUGGCGAAGGCGGCCCCCUGGACAAAGACUGACGCUCAGGUGCGAAAGCGUGGGGAGCAAACAGG
rnacentral:rRNA from 1 species